AAUACAUGGCAAAGGUCGAAGCGGGACAGAUGGGAGCUUGCUCCCUGAUGUUAGCGGCGGACGGGUGAGUAACACGUGGGUAACCUGCCUGUAAGACUGGGAUAACUCCGGGAAACCGGGGCUAAUACCGGAUGCUUGUUUGAACCGCAUGGUUCAAACAUAAAAGGUGGCUUCGGCUACCACUUACAGAUGGACCCGCGGCGCAUUAGCUAGUUGGUGAGGUAAUGGCUCACCAAGGCGACGAUGCGUAGCCGACCUGAGAGGGUGAUCGGCCACACUGGGACUGAGACACGGCCCAGACUCCUACGGGAGGCAGCAGUAGGGAAUCUUCCGCAAUGGACGAAAGUCUGACGGAGCAACGCCGCGUGAGUGAUGAAGGUUUUCGGAUCGUAAAGCUCUGUUGUUAGGGAAGAACAAGUACCGUUCGAAUAGGGCGGUACCUUGACGGUACCUAACCAGAAAGCCACGGCUAACUACGUGCCAGCAGCCGCGGUAAUACGUAGGUGGCAAGCGUUGUCCGGAAUUAUUGGGCGUAAAGGGCUCGCAGGCGGUUUCUUAAGUCUGAUGUGAAAGCCCUUCGGCUCAAUCGGGGAGGGUCAUUGGAAACUGGGGAACUUGAGUGCAGAAGAGGAGAGUGGAAUUCUACGUGUAGCGGUGAAAUGCGUAGAGAUGUGGAGGAACACCAGUGGCGAAGGCGACUCUCUGGUCUGUAACUGACGCUGAGGAGCGAAAGCGUGGGGAGCGAACAGGAUUAGAUACCCUGGUAGUCCACGCCGUAAACGAUGAGUGCUAAGUGUUAGGGGUUUCUGCCUCUUAGUGCUGCAGCUAACGCAUUAAGCACUCUGCCUGGGGAGUACGGUCGCAAGACUGAAACUCAAAGGAAUUGACGGGGGCCCGCACAAGCGGUGGAGCAUGUGGUUUAAUUCGAGCAACGCGAGACUUUACUAGGUCUUGACAUCUCUGACAUCUAGAGAUAGGACGUCUCCUUCGGGGCAGAGUGACAGUGUGCAUGAUGUCGUCAGCUCGUGUUCGUGAGAUGGUGGUAGUCCGCACGAGCGCAUCUGAUCUAGUGGCUAGCAUUCAGUUGGGCACUCUAGUGACUGGCUGUGACA
rnacentral:rRNA from 1 species